rnacentral:precursor_RNA from 1 species
AGGCGGCUGGGUAUCAUGCCGUUAGCAGUAGCCUCCACUACUGCCUGGCAGGUAGGUUUCCCGAAUGGUUACCG